GAAGUUGAAUGCUAUGUGUUUUGUCGGGUCACAUAAACAGACCACCAAUGUGAAACAACAACACUUGAGAACACAAUCAAAACUUGAAUUUCUUUUGUUUUCUUACGUGCAACACGCAGUUUUUAUUUAUUCUGUUGCUUCCCUCGGAUUUUGAGACGUACGAGGGAGAAGAGAACGCAGCAUGGAGACGCUGAUGGGCGCCACCUGCUGACCGGAGCUUUAGCCUAAAAUGCUAAAAGGAGCAGACCAGUGAUCCAUCAUGUAAUUCUACUUUUGACACAUUUACAUUCAAGCCACCAUGUUUGUGUGCUGCAAACUCAACAAAACCCCAUCUCGUUGAACUUGGCAAUCUAUUGGAAGAACAGUCCCGACAGCCAGUAAACUGAUGGCAGUUACAUUAGGAUGUAUUUACAGAGACGGUCAUGAAAAGAACUGGGGUCAUUGUGGGUGAUGAGUGGCACGCUCUCGCCUCCUCUAUUUACCAAAUUUGAAAUGUCCUUUAUUCCACAAGCCGUUAAGAUUCUAAAAGAAGAAAAAUGUGGAUGUCCAGCUGGUCUGGACCAAAUGUCAACCUAUGUCACUCCAGAGCUGCUUGAAGGUACGAUGGAAGUAUGAGUGUAAGUUUUGACUAUGUCUGUUGAUGUUUCUGAUUGUGAUGUGAUUAUUGCUGCAAAGUUUGCCUAUGGGUACAAAUAAAGAAUAUCUGAAUGAGUGUA